rnacentral:rRNA from 1 species
CCUACGGGCGGCUGCAGUGGGGAAUAUUGCGCAAUGGGCGAAAGCCUGACGCAGCGACGCCGCGUGAGGGAUGAAGGUCUUCGGAUCGUAAACCUCUGUCAGCAGGGAAGAACGGUCUCUGUGCUAAUCAUCAGUGCAUUGACGGUACCUGCAAAGGAAGCACCGGCUAACUCCGUGCCAGCAGCCGCGGUAAUACGGAGGGUGCGAGCGUUAAUCGGAAUUACUGGGCGUAAAGCGCUCGUAGGCGGUAUGUCAAGUCAAGGGUGAAAUCCCCGGGCUCAACGUGGGAACUGCCUUUGAAACUGGCAAACUGGAGUGUGUGAGGGGAGAGGGGAAUUCCAGGUGUAGGAGGGGAAACGG